rnacentral:rRNA from 1 species
CGCGUAGGAAUCUGCCCUAAAGUGGGGGACAACCCGAGGAAACUCGGGCUAAUACCGCAUAAUUUCUGAGGAAAAAGCUUGGGAGCUGUUUACAGCCCAGGUGCUUUAGGAGGAGCCUGCGUCCGAUUAGCUUGUUGGUGGGGUAAAGGCCUACCAAGGCGACGAUCGGUAGCUGGUCUGAGAGGAUGAUCAGCCACACUGGGACUGAGACACGGCCCAGACUCCUACGGGAGGCAGCAGUGGGGAAUAUUGGACAAUGGGGGCAACCCUGAUCCAGCAAUGCCGCGUGUGUGAAGAAGG